GACGUAGGAGGCGAGCGUUGUCCGGAUUCAUUGGGCGUAAAGCGCGCGCAGGUGGUUUCUUAAGUCUGAUGUGAAAGCCCACGGCUCAACCGUGGAGGGUCAUUGGAAACUGGGGGAACUUGAGUGCAGGAGAGAAGAGUGGAAUUCCACGUGUAGCGGUGAAAUGCGUAGAGAUGUGGAGGAACACCAGUGGCGAAGGCGACUCUUUGGCCUGUAACUGACACUGAGGCACGAAAGCGUGGGGAGCAAACAGG
rnacentral:rRNA from 1 species